rnacentral:rRNA from 1 species
UACGUAGGGUGCAAGCGUUGUCCGGAAUUAUUGGGCGUAAAGAGCUCGUAGGCGGUCUGUCGCGUCUGCUGUGAAAACUCGGGGCUUAACCCCGGGCCUGCAGUGGGUACGGGCAGACUAGAGUGCGGUAGGGGAGACUGGAAUUCCUGGUGUAGCGGUGAAAUGCGCAGAUAUCAGGAGGAACACCGGUGGCGAAGGCGGGUCUCUGGGCCGAUACUGACGCUGAGGAGCGAAAGCAUGGGUAGCGAACAGG